AUGAACGCUGGCGGCGUGCCUAAUACAUGCAAGUCGAACGAGUUCUCGUUGAUGAUCGGUGCUUGCACCGAGAUUCAACAUGGAACGAGUGGCGGACGGGUGAGUAACACGUGGGUAACCUGCCCUUAAGUGGGGGAUAACAUUUGGAAACAGAUGCUAAUACCGCAUAGAUCCAAGAACCGCAUGGUUCUUGGCUGAAAGAUGGCGUAAGCUAUCGCUUUUGGAUGGACCCGCGGCGUAUUAGCUAGUUGGUGAGGUAAUGGCUCACCAAGGCGAUGAUACGUAGCCGAACUGAGAGGUUGAUCGGCCACAUUGGGACUGAGACACGGCCCAAACUCCUACGGGAGGCAGCAGUAGGGAAUCUUCCACAAUGGACGCAAGUCUGAUGGAGCAACGCCGCGUGAGUGAAGAAGGCUUUCGGGUCGUAAAACUCUGUUGUUGGAGAAGAAUGGUCGGCAGAGUAACUGUUGUCGGCGUGACGGUAUCCAACCAGAAAGCCACGGCUAACUACGUGCCAGCAGCCGCGGUAAUACGUAGGUGGCAAGCGUUAUCCGGAUUUAUUGGGCGUAAAGCGAGCGCAGGCGGUUUUUUAAGUCUGAUGUGAAAGCCCUCGGCUUAACCGAGGAAGCGCAUCGGAAACUGGGAAACUUGAGUGCAGAAGAGGACAGUGGAACUCCAUGUGUAGCGGUGAAAUGCGUAGAUAUAUGGAAGAACACCAGUGGCGAAGGCGGCUGUCUGGUCUGUAACUGACGCUGAGGCUCGAAAGCAUGGGUAGCGAACAGGAUUAGAUACCCUGGUAGUCCAUGCCGUAAACGAUGAAUGCUAGGUGUUGGAGGGUUUCCGCUCUUCAGUGCCGCAGCUAACGCAUUAAGCAUUCCGCCUGGGGAGUACGACCGCAAGGUUGAAACUCAAAGGAAUUGACGGGGGCCCGCACAAGCGGUGGAGCAUGUGGUUUAAUUCGAAGCAACGCGAAGAACCUUACCAGGUCUUGACAUCUUUUGAUCACCUGAGAGAUCAGGUUUCCCCUUCGGGGGCAAAAUGACAGGUGGUGCAUGGUUGUCGUCAGCUCGUGUCGUGAGAUGUUGGGUUAAGUCCCGCAACGAGCGCAACCCUUAUGACUAGUUGCCAGCAUUUAGUUGGGCACUCUAGUAAGACUGCCGGUGACAAACCGGAGGAAGGUGGGGAUGACGUCAAAUCAUCAUGCCCCUUAUGACCUGGGCUACACACGUGCUACAAUGGAUGGUACAACGAGUUGCGAGACCGCGAGGUCAAGCUAAUCUCUUAAAGCCAUUCUCAGUUCGGACUGUAGGCUGCAACUCGCCUACACGAAGUCGGAAUCGCUAGUAAUCGCGGAUCAGCACGCCGCGGUGAAUACGUUCCCGGGCCUUGUACACACCGCCCGUCACACCAUGAGAGUUUGUAACACCCGAAGCCGGUGGCGUAACCCUUUUAGGGAGCGAGCCGUCUAAGGUGGGACAAAUGAUUAGGGUG
rnacentral:rRNA from 1 species